UACGAAGGGGGCUAGCGUUGCUCGGAAUCACUGGGCGUAAAGCGCACGUAGGCGGAUUGCUAAGUCAGGGGUGAAAUCCUGGAGCUCAACUCCAGAACUGCCUUUGAUACUGGCGACCUUGAGUCCGGGAGAGGUGAGUGGAACUGCGAGUGUAGAGGUGAAAUUCGUAGAUAUUCGCAAGAACACCAGUGGCGAAGGCGGCUCACUGGCCCGGUACUGACGCUGAGAUGCGAAAGCGUGGGGAGCAAACAGG
rnacentral:rRNA from 1 species